rnacentral:sRNA from 1 species
CCCUGGAUGGCCCCCGAAUGCCUAACAGGUGGGCCCAACAGCCUAAGCACCGCCAUGGACAAGUGGGGGUUUGGCGCCACCCUCUUGGAGAUCUGCUUUGACGGAGAGGCCCCUCUGCAGAACCGCAGCCCCUCCGAGAAGGAGCAUUUCUACCAAAGGCAGCACCGGCUGCCCGAGCCCUCCUGCCCAGAGCUGGCCACACUCACCAGCCAGUGUCUGACCUAUGAGCCGACCCAGAGGCCAUCAUUCCGCACCAUCCUGCGUGACCUCACCCGGCUGCAGCCCCACAAUCUUGCUGACGUCUUGACUGUGAACCCGGACUCACCAGCCUCAGACCCUACGGUUUUCCACAAGCGCUAUUUGAAAAAGAUCCGAGAUCUGGGCGAGGGUCACUUCGGCAAGGUCAGCUUGUACUGCUACGAUCCGACCAACGACGGCACUGGCGAGAUGGUGGCGGUGAAAGCCCUCAAGGCAGACUGCGCUCCCCAGCACCGCUCCGGCUGGAAGCAGGAGAUUGACAUUCUGCGCACGCUCUAUCACGAGCACAUCGUCAAGUACAAGGGCUGCUGCGAGGACCAAGGUGGGCGGGACCCGGCGAGUCCUAGAGACUCGAGGGGGCGUGGUUAUAGCGGUGGCGUGGCCUUGUGGGCGGGGCCAGUCUGGCCUAGCCAAUUAGAGACUCUCAACCCCAGGCUGCAGUCCGCGGUUCUU